rnacentral:rRNA from 1 species
AUGCGCCUUGCCAGCCCGCUCAGAAUUAAAUGAAUGACGGGCCCCGCACAAGCAGCGGAGCGUGUGGUUUAAUUCGAUGCUACACGAAGAACCUUACCAGGGUUUGACAUACAAGUAGUAGGGAAAGGAAACUGGACCGACCCUUCGGGGAGCUUGAACAGGUGCUGCAUGGCUGUCGUCAGCUCGUGUCGUGAGAUGUUCGGUUAAGUCCGCUAACGAGCGCAACCCUCGCUGUGUGUUACAAGUGUCACACGGAACUGCCGGUCAUAAACCGGAGGAAGGUGGGGAUGACGUCAAGUCAGCAUGGCCUUUAUAUCCUGGGCUACACACACGCUACAAUGGGAAGGGACAAUAGGUUGCGAAACCGCGAGGUGGAGCCAAUCCAGCAAAACUUCCCUCAGUUCAGAUUGCAGGCUGCAACUCGCCUGCAUGAAGUUGGAGUUGCUAGUAAACGCAGGUCAGCCAUACUGCGUUGAAUACGUUCCCGGGGCUU